rnacentral:rRNA from 1 species
GAUAAACGCUGGCGGCGCACAUAAGACAUGCAAGUCGAACGAACUUAAUUGAGAGCUUGCUCUCAAAGCGGUUAGUGGCGGACUGGUGAGUAACACGUAAGCAACCUGCCUAUUAGAGGGGAAUAACAGCGAGAAAUCGUUGCUAAUACCGCAUAUGCUGUGAGUAUCGCAUGAUACAAGCAGGAAAGGAGCAAUCCGCUAAUAGAUGGGCUUGCGUCUGAUUAGUUAGUUGGUGGGGUAACGGCCUACCAAGACGAUGAUCAGUAGCCGGACUGAGAGGUUGAACGGCCACAUUGGGACUGAGAUACGGCCCAGACUCCUACGGGAGGCAGCAGUCGGGAAUAUUGCGCAAUGGAGGAAACUCUGACGCAGUGACGCCGCGUGCAGGAAGAAGGUUUUCGGAUUGUAAACUGCUUUUAACAGGAAAGAAAAAAUGACGGUACCUGUUGAAUAAG